rnacentral:rRNA from 2 species
CUUGCUGGGUGGAUCAGUGGGGAACGGGUGAGUAACACGUGAGCAACCUGCCCCUGACUCUGGGAUAAGCGCUGGAAACGGCGUCUAAUACUGGAUACGAACCACAGUCGCAUGGCUGGUGGUUGGAAAGAUUUUUUGGUUGGGGAUGGGCUCGCGGCCUAUCAGCUUGUUGGUGAGGUAAUGGCUCACCAAGGCGUCGACGGGUAGCCGGCCUGAGAGGGUGACCGGCCACACUGGGACUGAGACACGGCCCAGACUCCUACGGGAGGCAGCAGUGGGGAAUAUUGCACAAUGGGCGCAAGCCUGAUGCAGCAACGCCGCGUGAGGGAUGACGGCCUUCGGGUUGUAAACCUCUUUUAGCAAGGAAGAAGCGAAAGUGACGGUACUUGCAGAAAAAGCGCCGGCUAACUACGUGCCAGCAGCCGCGGUAAUACGUAGGGCGCAAGCGUUAUCCGGAAUUAUUGGGCGUAAAGAGCUCGUAGGCGGUUUGUCGCGUCUGCUGUGAAAUCCCGAGGCUCAACCUCGGGCCUGC